rnacentral:rRNA from 1 species
CCUACGGGGGGCAGCAGUGAGGAAUAUUGGUCAAUGGGCGCGAGCCUGAACCAGCCAAGUAGCGUGAAGGAUGACUGCCCUACGGGUUGUAAACUUCUUUUAUACAGGAAUAAAGUGAGGCACGUGUACCUUUUUGUAUGUACUUUAUGAAUAAGGAUCGGCUAACUCCGUGCCAGCAGCCGCGGUAAUACGGAGGGUGCGAGCGUUAAUCGGAAUUACUGGGCGUAAAGCGUUCGUAGGCGGUAUGGCAAGUGAAAGGUGAAAUCCCCGCGCUUAACGUGGGAACUGCCUUUGAUACUGGCGAACUGGAGUGUGUAUGAGGAUAGUGGAAUGUCAGGUGUAGGAGUGAAAUGCGUAGAGAUCUGGAGGAACAUCAGUGGCGAAGGCGACUAUCUGGCACAUAGCUGACGCUGAGGAGCGAAAGCGUGGGUAGCAAACAGGAUUAGAUACCCUUGUAGUC